GUAAAGGCAGAAGGGAGCUUGACUGCGAGACCUACAAGUCGAGCAGGGACGAAAGUCGGGCUUAGUGAUCCGGUGGUUCCGCAUGGAAGGGCCAUCGCUCAACGGAUAAAAGCUACCCUGGGGAUAACAGGCUUAUCUCCCCCAAGAGUCCACAUCGACGGGGAGGUUUGGCACCUCGAUGUCGGCUCAUCGCAUCCUGGGGCUGAAGUAGGUCCCAAGGGUUGGGCUGUUCGCCCAUUAAAGCGGUACGCGAGCUGGGUUCAGAACGUCGUGAGACAGUUCGGUCCCUAUCUGUCGCGGGCGUAGGAAAUUUGAAAGGAGCUGCCCUUAGUACGAGAGGACCGGGGUGGACAUACCGCUGGUGCACCAGUUGUUUCGCCAGAAGCACGGCUGGGUAGCUAUGUAUGGAAGGGAUAAGCGCUGAAAGCAUCUAAGCGUGAAGCCCCCCUUAAGAUGAGAUUUCCCACAGCGUUAAGCUGGUAAGACCCCUCAUAGACGAUGAGGUUGAUAGGUUCGGUGUGGAAGCGCGGCAACGCGUGGAGCUGACGAAUACUAAUCGGUCGAGGACUUAUCCAC
rnacentral:rRNA from 1 species